rnacentral:rRNA from 1 species
GGGUUGUGAGGUUAAGCGACUAAGCGUACACGGUGGAUGCCCUGGCAGUCAGAGGCGAUGAAGGACGUGCUAAUCUGCGAAAAGCGUCGGUAAGGUGAUAUGAACCGUUAUAACCGGCGAUGUCCGAAUGGGGAAACCCAGUGCAAUUCGUUGCACUAUCGUUAACUGAAUACAUAGGUUAACGAGGCGAACCGGGGGAACUGAAACAUCUAAGUACCCCGAGGAAAAGAAAUCAACCGAGAUUCCCCCAGUAGCGGCGAGCGAACGGGGAGCAGCCCAGAGUCUGAAUCAGCUUGUGUGUUAGUGGAACGGUCUGGAAAGUCCGACGGUACAGGGUGAUAGUCCCGUACACCAAAAUGCACAGGUUGUGAACUCGAAGAGUAGGGCGGGACACGUGGUAUCCUGUCUGAAUAUGGGGGGACCAUCCUCCAAGGCUAAAUACUCCUGACUGACCGAUAGUGAACCAGUACCGUGAGGGAAAGGCGAAAAGAACCCCGGCGAGGGGAGUGAAAAAGAACCUGAAACCGUGUACGUACAAGCAGUGGGAGCACCUUCGGGUGUGACUGCGUACCUUUUGUAUAAUGGGUCAGCGACUUAUAUUCUGUAGCAAGGUUAACCGUAUAGGGAGCCGCAGGGAAACCGAGUCUUAACUGGGCGUUAAGUUGCAGGGUAUAGACCCGAAACCCGGUGAUCUAGCCAUGGGCAGGUUGAAGGUUGGGUAACACUAACUGGAGGACCGAACCGACUAAUGUUGAAAAAUUAGCGGAUGACUUGUGGCUGGGGGUGAAAGGCCAAUCAAACCGGGAGAUAGCUGGUUCUCCCCGAAAGCUAUUUAGGUAGCGCCUCGUGAACUCAUCUUCGGGGGUAGAGCACUGUUUCGGCUAGGGGUCAUCCCGACUUACCAACCCGAUGCAAACUACGAAUACCGAAGAAUGUUAUCACGGGAGACACACGGCGGGUGCUAACGUCCGUCGUGAAGAGGGAAACAACCCAGACCGCCAGCUAAGGUCCCAAAGUCAUGGUUAAGUGGGAAACGAUGUGGGAAGGCACAGACAGCCAGGAUGUUGGCUUAGAAGCAGCCAUCAUUUAAAGAAAGCGUAAUAGCUCACUGGUCGAGUCGGCCUGCGCGGAAGAUGUAACGGGGCUAAACCAUGCACCGAAGCUGCGGCAGCGACACUAUGUGUUGUUGGGUAGGGAGCGUUCUGUAAGCCUGCGAAGGUGACCUGUGAGGGUUGCUGGAGGUAUCAGAAGUGCGAAUGCUGACAUAAGUAACGAUAAAGCGGGUGAAAAGCCCGCUCGCCGGAAGACCAAGGGUUCCUGUCCAACGUUAAUCGGGGCAGGGUGAGUCGACCCCUAAGGCGAGGCCGAAAGGCGUAGUCGAUGGGAAACAGGUUAAUAUUCCUGUACUUGGUGUUACUGCGAAGGGGGGACGGAGAAGGCUAUGUUAGCCGGGCGACGGUUGUCCCGGUUUAAGCAUGUAGGCUGGUUGUCCAGGCAAAUCCGGAUAAUCAAGGCUGAGGUGUGAUGACGAGGCACUACGGUGCUGAAGUAACAAAUGCCCUGCUUCCAGGAAAAGCCUCUAAGCAUCAGGUAACAUUAAAUCGUACCCCAAACCGACACAGGUGGUCAGGUAGAGAAUACCAAGGCGCUUGAGAGAACUCGGGUGAAGGAACUAGGCAAAAUGGUGCCGUAACUUCGGGAGAAGGCACGCUGGUGUGUAGGUGAAGCCCCUGCGGGUGGAGCUGAGACCAGUCGAAGAUACCAGCUGGCUGCAACUGUUUAUUAAAAACACAGCACUGUGCAAACACGAAAGUGGACGUAUACGGUGUGACGCCUGCCCGGUGCCGGAAGGUUAAUUGAUGGGGUUAUCCGUAAGGAGAAGCUCUUGAUCGAAGCCCCGGUAAACGGCGGCCGUAACUAUAACGGUCCUAAGGUAGCGAAAUUCCUUGUCGGGUAAGUUCCGACCUGCACGAAUGGCGUAAUGAUGGCCAGGCUGUCUCCACCCGAGACUCAGUGAAAUUGAACUCGCUGUGAAGAUGCAGUGUACCCGCGGCAAGACGGAAAGACCCCGUGAACCUUUACUAUAGCUUGACACUGAACAUUGAGCCUUGAUGUGUAGGAUAGGUGGGAGGCUUUGAAGCGUGGACGCCAGUCUGCGUGGAGCCAACCUUGAAAUACCACCCUUUAAUGUUUGAUGUUCUAACGUUGGCCCCUUACCGGGGUUGCGGACAGUGUCUGGUGGGUAGUUUGACUGGGGCGGUCUCCUCCUAAAGCGUAACGGAGGAGCACGAAGGUUAGCUAAUCCUGGUCGGACAUCAGGAGGUUAGUGCAAUGGCAUAAGCUAGCUUGACUGCGAGCGUGACGGCGCGAGCAGGUGCGAAAGCAGGUCAUAGUGAUCCGGUGGUUCUGAAUGGAAGGGCCAUCGCUCAACGGAUAAAAGGUACUCCGGGGAUAACAGGCUGAUACCGCCCAAGAGUUCAUAUCGACGGCGGUGUUUGGCACCUCGAUGUCGGCUCAUCACAUCCUGGGGCUGAAGUAGGUCCCAAGGGUAUGGCUGUUCGCCAUUUAAAGUGGUACGCGAGCUGGGUUUAGAACGUCGUGAGACAGUUCGGUCCCUAUCUGCCGUGGGCGCUGGAGAAUUGAGGGGGGCUGCUCCUAGUACGAGAGGACCGGAGUGGACGCAUCACUGGUGUUCGGGUUGUCAUGCCAAUGGCACUGCCCGGUAGCUAAAUGCGGAAGAGAUAAGUGCUGAAAGCAUCUAAGCACGAAACUUGCCCCGAGAUGAGUUCUCCCUGAGACUUUAAGUCUCCUGAAGGAACGUUGAAGACGACGACGUUGAUAGGCCGGGUGUGUAAGCGCAGCGAUGCGUUGAGCUAACCGGUACUAAUGAACCGUGAGGCUUAACCUUACAACGCCGAAG